GACGAACGCUGGCGGCGUGCUUAACACAUGCAAGUCGAACGGAAAGGCCUCUUUCGGGGGGUACUCGAGUGGCGAACGGGUGAGUAACACGUGAGUAACCUGCCCUUGACUUUGGGAUAACUUCAGGAAACUAGGGCUAAUACCGGAUAGGAGCUCCUGCUGCAUGGUGGGGGUUGGAAAGUUUCGGCGGUUGGGGAUGGACUCGCGGCUUAUCAGCUUGUUUGUGGGGUAGUGGCUUACCAAGGCUUUGACGGGUAGCCGGCCUGAGAGGGUGACCGGCCACAUUGGGACUGAGAUACGGCCCAGACUCCUACGGGAGGCAGCAGUGGGGAAUAUUGCACAAUGGGUGGAAGCCUGAUGCAGCAACGCCGGGUGCGGGAUGACGGCCUUCGGGUUGUAAACCGCUUUCGCUCAUGACGAAGCUUUGUGUGACGGUAGUGGGUAAAGAAGCACCGGCUAACUACGUG
rnacentral:rRNA from 1 species